UACGAAGGGUGCAAGCGUUAAUCGGAUUUAUUGGGCGUAAAGGGCGCGUAGGCGGAUCAGAAAGUCAAAUGUGAAAUCCCAGGGCUUAACCCCGGAACUGCAUUUGAAACUCCUGAUCUAGAGGGUAGACGGAGAAAGUGGAAUUCCACAUGUAGCGGUAAAAUGCGUAGAUAUGUGGAAGAAUACCGGUGGCGAAGGCGACUUUCUAGUUUAUACCUGACGCUGAUGCGCGAAAGCAAGGGGAGCAAACAGGAUUAGAUACCCUGGUAGUCCUUGCCGUAAACAAUGUAUACUUGACGUAGCUGGUCUCAACCCCAGCUGUGUCGGAGCUAACGUGUUAAGUAUACCGCCUGAGGAGUACACUCGCAAGGGUGAAACUCAAAAGAAUUGACGGGGGCUCGCACAAGCAGUGGAGCAUGUGGUUUAAUUCGACGCUACGCGAAGAACCUUACCUAGGCUUGACAUGCACCGGACAGCUACAGAGAUGUAGCCUUCUUCGGACCGGUGCACAGGUGCUGCAUGGCUGUCGUCAGCUCGUGCCGUGAGGUGUUGGGUUAAGUCCCGCAACGAGCGAAACCCUUAUCAUUAGUUACCAGCAUUUCGGAUGGGGACUCUAGUGAGACUGCCUGGGUUAACCAGGAGGAAGGUGAGGAUGAUGUCAAGUCAGCAUGGCCCUUAUGCCUAGGGCUACACACGUGCUACAAUGGCCGAUACAAAAGGUUGCGAAGCCGCAAGGUAGUGCUAAUCCUAUAAAAUCGGUCUCAGUUCAGAUUGUAGUCUGCAACUCGACUACAUGAAGUUGGAAUUGCUAGUAAUGGCGUGUCAGCAAUAACGCCGUGAAUACGUUCUCGGGCCU
rnacentral:rRNA from 1 species